rnacentral:rRNA from 1 species
AGUGAACGCUGGCGGUAGGCCUAACACAUGCAAGUCGAACGGCAGCACAGUAAGAGCUUGCUCUUACGGGUGGCGAGUGGCGGACGGGUGAGGCAUACAUCGGAAUCUACUUUUUCGUGGGGGAUAACGUAGGGAAACUUACGCUAAUACCGCAUACGACCUACGGGUGAAAGCAGGGGUUCUUCGCACCUUGCGUGAUUGAAUGAGCCGAUGUCGGAUUAGCUAGUUGGCGGGGUAAAGGCCCACCAAGGCGACGAUCCGUAGCUGGUCUGAGCGGAUGAUCAGCCACACUGGAACUGGGACACGGUCCAGACUCCUACGGGAGGCAGCAGCGGGGAAUAUUGGAGAAUGGGCGCAAGCCUGAUCCAGCCAUACCGGGUGGGGGAAGAAGGCCUUCGGGUUGUAAAGCCCUUUUGUUGGGAAAGAAAAGCAGCAGGUUAAUACCCCGCUGUUCUGGCGGUACCCAAAGAAUAAGGACCGGCUAACUUCGUG